rnacentral:rRNA from 1 species
UACGUAGGGGGCGAGCGUUGUCCGGAAUCAUUGGGCGUAAAGAGCUCGUAGGCGGCUGAGUAAGUCAGGUGUGAAACCCCCAGGCUCAACCUGGGGCCGCCACCUGAUACUGCUCUAGCUUGAGUCCGGUAGGGGACCACGGAAUUCCUGGUGUAGCGGUGAAAUGCGCAGAUAUCAGGAGGAACACCGGUGGCGAAGGCGGUGGUCUGGGCCGGCACUGACGCUGAGGAGCGAAAGCGUGGGGAGCGAACAGG